rnacentral:tRNA from 1 species
CGGCGGCUCCGGCGUGGUCACGGCUGGCGCGCUUAGCUUGCGCUACAACAACUGUGGCUGGUUCGGCUCCGACGUCGGCGUC